rnacentral:tRNA from 1 species
ACUCUAAUAGUUUAUGAAAACAUUGGUCUUGUAAGCCAAAGAUUGAAGAC